AGUGGGAUAGCUGGGUCAAAUGGUGGUUACAUUCCAAGUUUUCUGAGGAAUCUUCAUUCUGCUUUCCAAGGUAGUUGCAUCCAGUUUGCAGUCCCACCAGCAAU
rnacentral:pre_miRNA from 1 species